GGACUACAAGGGUAUCUAAUCCUGUUUGCUCCCCUAGCUUUCGUGCAUCAGCGUCAGUUAUGGUCCAGUGAGCCGCUUUCGCCACAGGUGUUCCUCCUGAUAUCUACGCAUUUCACCGCUACACCAGGAAUUCCACUCACCUCUCCCACACUCAAGCCCGGCAGUUUCUCCUGCAGGCUCCGAGUUGAGCCCGGAGUUUUCACAAGAGACUUACCAAACCGCCUACGCACCCUUUACGCCCAAUAAUUCCGAACAACGCUCGCCCCCCUCGUAUUACCGCGGCUGCUGGCAC
rnacentral:rRNA from 1 species